GACAGAUUUUAAGAACUGUUUUAUAAACUUAGAAAGUUACCAGAAUACCAGGUUUUGUGUUACCAAACAUUUUCUGAAUGAUAUGAAGUCUGAAACUCAAAGGUCUAUUGUUCUAUGAUGAUUUCAGUACUCAAAGAUAUGCCAGAAAUCCCCAGAUUUUAGGAGGAACAAACCAAAAAUAUGAGGCAAAAAUCUGGACAUUCUGCAGAAAUCUGGACAGAUGCAAGCAUGCCAUCUCUGUCUGGCAUGACUCCCAACAAAGAUUGCUAGUGCAAUGUAUAUUUUGCCAUUUAAAGAUAUCAGGGAUUUCUUUUAUGUUACACAAGGAAAGAAGAUUGAAGUACAUUAUGGAGCUUUUCUACCUGGACCUUUGUUGAAAAGGGGUCUUUAAUGACUCAGGGAGAUCUUCCCAAUAAUCAAAUGUAAUUCAAUCAAUAAAUGAAUUCAGGCAUUGAAAAGUAAUAAACUCCUACCCAAAAGAUUUUUUCUGGCAAAUGUAAACAGAUAAUGAUAUGCAUUUCAACAUGACAGUCACCUCACUUUCAAAAAUGUAUUUAACUGCAUUGGUGCUUACAUUUAGAGAGGCAUUUGAUUCCUCCAUAGAAGGCACAUUUGUUACUGCCUUGUUGACAGCAGCACCUUGUAAUAUAUUUCACUUACAGACAGGUUCUCUUCUCCUAAGUAGAUUCCCGAACCACUGUUUGCCUGUAUCCCAAAAAGCACAUGCACAGUUUUACAGAUGGCAUCAUUUGAUUAGCUAAAGACUAGUUUACCCAGCCAACCCAUCCCUUUCCCUGUGCAGUUGAGCUGUUUAACUUUAAACAUUUCGUACAGAGCACUGUACUGACGUGUGACAUCAUUCCUGUCUAUUCUGGUAAUGCUGAUGUCUGACGCAACCCCAGAUUAUGUUUUCUGCCCUGUCUUUUCUAUUGUUGCCUUAUUUUGACAUGGCAAUUUGUGAUGACUCCUGGUAUUGUUCUAUUUUCAUACAUUUAUACUGUGAGUUGAUUGCACUGGUUUUUGCUUUUCAGGAGACUUUGCACUGGACUUCAUUAUGCUGACUGUAAGUUAUCAUUCUCCUUACAAUUCUUUCAGACUUAGGACAAACUCCUAUUUUAACUUACAAAUUGUCAGCUGGCCUUCCUACAGUUCAUCGAAAAUCACAUGGAAAGACAUAUUUGCCCAUCAUAUAACUUUAUCUGAAGUUACCUGGUGGUGUAUUAGCCCCAUUUCCUCAAAGUACACUGCAUUUAUAAUAACUCUGCACUUCUGUCUUGCCAUUCAGUUUCUUACCUCAUAUACCACCCAGGAACAAAUUACAUCUCCUCCACUUUUCCCAUUUUGAUUAACUUAUAUUGUUAAUUUUGUUGUGGCACUCUUGUUAAAUCCAUUGUAGUAGUCCACAAAGUUUCAAAGCCAGGCCUUGUCUUGUCUAUUACUGUGGUCACCUAGUCAGAUCUAUCAGACACCACUUUCCUGCUAUAAAUCCAUGCCAAUGCAUGAAGUGUAAAUCAGUCUCACUGAGUACAUAACAGUUAUUUAUUUUAAAAGUGACUGAUUACUUUAUUGCCCUAUUACUGAGAUAAAGCUUAUAUGCCUAUAAAUUAAAGUGUCCAUGUUAUUUGUGUUUAGAAUGUUGUUUUUAAUAAUGACGUUUGUAGAUUUGUUUAUAUGGCAUAAAGAAAGAAAGAAAGAAAAAAAUAAUUAAAUACAUUUAUGGACUGACUUUUUCAAAAGGUUUGUCAGAGAUUACUGUAAUUGAAAGUGGUGGAAUAUUGUAAGGGUUUUUGUUCUGACUGUGUCAGUAUUCCAAGUUGCUGUGAAAAAAUAUGUAUUUCUUUUAUAUGACUUAUUCAGACUUUAGUUUGAGUAUGAUUGUAAUGAAAUGCAGUCAUAUUGAGUUGGCUAGCUCAUGCAAUAGUGCUAUAUCUAAUGCUUUAAGAAAUACUCGCUUUGAAUGACAUUUUAGUAGCACAACUUUGCUAGCUGAAUAGAGGUGGGUUUUAUCUUUUAGAUCUGAUUCUGUGUAGUUAUGUUCUACUGUAAAACUAGUUAUUUUCAGAUUUUUAAGCAUCAACCAAAUGCAGCCAUAUGCAGCUAACAAAUACAUUAUAUGAAAAAUCAUGUCACAUAAUGUUCUUUCUUAUGGAAAAUGUCCAGGAACACUGGUUUACCAUGGCAGAGAAAUGGCAAAAUCCAAUUUGCAAACUGUGAACAAAUUAUGUUUUAAAAUGCACAACAAGGCCAAAAUGCGCUUUAAUAAUGUUGUACAUAUUUAUUUUGAAUUAUUCCUGUUCAUGUUUUCAUGGGUUAUAUUUUUGUUUUAGUCAGUGUCUGGUAUACUAGACCAUUGAACAGCCAUUGUAAAGUAUUUUCUUUAGUGUAAAGGUGGAUGUAUCUUUCCAGUUAUCUAUGUUGAGGCAUACUCGCCUCUCUCUCUGUGGAAAGUUUUGGGGGUGUACAUUUCUGAAGUGCAAACACCAGCUAGAAUCCUCAUUGCAGACUGGAGAUCACCAGAGGUACUUGUCUGUGUACAGAGCAGAGCUAAAUGUGAGCCAUCUCUCAUCAAUGCAGAAGGCAUGUCCAUCACCCAUGUCCACUGACUUGGGCGCAUUGUGAGCAUGUGUAGUAGGUUAAGUCUUAAGAGGGCGCAUUGUGAGCAUGUGUAGUAGGUUAAGUCUUAAGAGGGCGCAUUGUGAGCAUGUGUAGUAGGUUAAGUCUUAAGAGGGCGCAUUGUGAGCAUGUGUAGUAGGUUAAGUCUUAAGAGGGCAUUGUGAGCAUGUGUAGUAGGUUAAGUCUUAAGAGGGCAUUGUGAGCAUGUGUAGUAGGUUAAGUCUUAAGAGGGCGCAUUGUGAGCAUGUGUAGUAGGUUAAGUCUUAAGAGGGCGCAUUGUGAGCAUGUGUAGUAGGUUAAGUCUUAAGAGGGCGCAUUGUGAGCAUGUGUAGUAGGUUAAGUCUUACGAGUCCCCACCCAAGCUGCACAUGCUAUAUGAUGGCAGACCUUGUGCACCAUUUGAUCUCCACCCCAAGGAAGAAUAAAUGGAUCAUAGGGCUGUCGCCUCUGAGUGGAAUAAACAGGUCAUUUAGAGGAAGUGCGAGAGAAGCAUGAUCUGAUGACCACUUGUAGUCAGAGCAAAAAAUAGCCAUUUGUCCUCAUAGUAGCAUCAUCUAAGAUAGUACUUGUUAGGGUCAUACCUCCCAUUCUGUGAUAUCAUAAUUCUUCAAGUCAGUCGUGGAUCUUCUCCUUUCCAGCAGCCACCAAUGUCCCAUCCACGUCCAGCAUCAGUGUCACAGCCAAUACAUUCCAGGGCUUUAGCAUCAUCUCCAUGAAGCACAAUUUCCUCAAGUCUGUCAUAAGAUGUUCUUCAUUCCAGUUUCCAUUUCACUAAUAAUAGAGACAAACUAACUGAGAGAGCCUAGGUUUCUACUACUAGAGAAAGAUGUUUUGUAGGUAGCAGAUGCAUUGGCAGCGGAACGAUUCCAGGAUAAUACUGAGCAUUGUAGCUUUAAUCUGUCCAGCAGCCAUUUAAUAUAGAAACAAGACAUUUGAUGGUACGUAAGGAGCUGUUAACAUACACAAGUGUAAAUCACUUACCCUCACAAAUCAUUUUGCACGAUUCACUUCUUUCACUUUCAUCCUAUCAAACAACAAAUCUUUCUCUUCUUGUCUAACAAUUUAUUCUUUCUCCGUUUGCUGCCUUAAUUGAUUUUCAGAGCUGUGUUGAAGCCAUAUCCCAGCCACACAACAGAGGAACUAGCUUUGUACAAAGUGCAGCUCCCAUCAGAGAACUUCCACAUGCAAACACUCACUCUCACACAGUACACACAUGGACUUAUUAGCAAUCUGGAAGAGCACUAGUUCACCUAUGGCACAUCUCUAGAUAUCUACCAAAACCAAAACACCUGGCAAAAAGCCAAGUGGGUAUGGAGGGGCUACACAGACUGUGGAACCAAGCAGUGUGAGUUAACAGGUGUAACUGUUAUGGUACUUUGCCACCCAUCAACUUAUCAAAAAAGCUAAUAAAAUCCCCAUUUAGUAAAGGUGUUAGUAUAAAUAAAAUACAUUAGCUGGAGUCUUUUAAGUUAAAGGGUGAUGGAACCGUGUCCUGGAUAGGAGUGAGACCCACAAGACUUGCACCUCUUCUUCUGUUCCUGCAUUUUUGUUAUACUGCUCUUGCCACAGAUCAUAAAAUCAUGGAUGUUACUUAGAGUUUUCACUACUCUGUGCUUCUCCAAGUUAUUAGAUUCUUGAAACAAGUAUGUCAUGCAAACAGUGUAGCCUUCCAACAUUGAUUAUCUUACAGAAGUUAUACCCUCCAGAUAGUCAUAAACAAGUAGCUAUUUCUAGAUGGACUAUGCUAGGAUAUAUGUAUGGCAGUGCUUCAUGAGGCCGACAUUUAUAUCUACUAACAUGUAAAGUCUAAAGAUUGUCAGUACUUUUUUCAAGUUUGCAGGAUUCACGUAAAGAAUAUAGUUGAGACUUGGGUUCAUUAUGUACAACCUUUUGCUGUGUGAACUAUUUUUAUUUGCCAGAUUUAUUUAUCUCUGCAGAUCUCAAUGUCUUAUGGUCAUUUUUUUGUUUCACAUUUGUGGUGUUUUUCAUCGACUACUACAAAUGUUGUCAGUGAUUUCCACGGUGGUGCAGCAGUAUCGUUGUUGCCUCACAGCAACAGGUUCUCCCAUUCGAUUCUCGGCUUGGGUUGGGAGUGCCUUCUGUGUGGAGUCUGCAUGUCCUCCCCACGGUCGAGUGGGCAUUCGAAAGACAUGCGUUGAAUGGAUGUGCCUUCGUUGAAGGUUGGGCGUCGGGUUGGCAACUCGACACCAUAAAUAAACAACUGCCAAUUACUAGCGGACAGGAGUUCCGCUGUGGUGACCCCUAACCGGGAAAAGCCGAAAGACAAACUACAAAUGUUGUCAGUAUUAUUUGACAGGGAGUCAGUCUCUCAUUAUGUAGAGACAUGCCAAAUUGUAUUAAACAUGAGUUAACGGAAUACCACAAUUAACUGCCCCAUGGAAAGUUAGCCGUUUUAAAUGCUGACGAUCAGAUUUACAAAUGCAUAGUAGGUAUUCAUGCAAAAAUGGAGAUUAAAACCAUGCCCUAAUUUUAAAAAAUUUCAACAGAAGCAGCAGGUUAUUGCUUUAUAGAAUAUGCUGCCUUUCUAAGGAAAGAUAUUGUUCAUACUGCAGAAAUCAGAAAGUAGUGUGAGCACUGAUGUUAGAAGUCCCUUGUGUUAAGCUUUAAUUCAAUCAUACCUUCCCAAACAGUUGCACGCUAUUUUGGAGGGAACAAGUAAGACUUCUGAGCACAUAUAUGCUAUUUCAACAAUUUGAGGUAAUGUAUUGACUAAUCAGAUGACUCACAUUCUUAUUUUAACUCGGCAGUAGCAUCAACACCCUUUUCCCAUUUUGUACACGGGAUCCGAUGCAUUAUUUACAUUACACAAAACCGAUAUGAUAGAACUGUUGUCGUAAUGUUCAGCACACUGCUAGGUUAAUGAAAUUUGACUUAGUUGAGCCUAGUUUGUUGAAUCCUAUUUUUUUCCACAAAUUAAAGAUAUCAGAAAAAUAAACAUGACAUACGGGACAUACCUCACAAGACUAAAAUAAAUAAAAAUAGAAAUUAGUGAAGCACCAUUUUGUUGAGUUAUGUGCUAUGAAAUAGCACUUUCUGAAAUAUGUUCUGAUUAAUAGUUCUAUAAUACUACAAUAUCCGAAACUGAUUAGAGAAAGUUCACCUUUCUUCUGUUGAGAUGGAGGCAAAGACAGAUACAUAGAUUUAUCCAUGUAAAGAACUUUUAAAAUGAAAAUGUCAGAAAUUUCUACAACAGUAUGAAGAGAAACGUCUUUGAAACGUCCGCAUUUAAUAGACUGUUGUAAGAACUACUCCUUUGCUUGUAAAUAAAUUGCUUUGAUUCUUAAGACUGAUGUUUGUGCUAAGGAGGAUCUUCAUCCACUCUAGAAUCAGCAGAAGGGAUAUAAUAAAGCGCAACACACAAUAUUGAAAAGUCAAAGCAAACUACUACAAUGCUGGAUAAAACUAGAUAGGUCUCUUGUCUCUUUAUCUGGAGAAGCAGAGUCUCCUAUAUAAGAGAGAGAAAGAGAAAGAAACAUUUCUAGCUUUGAUAGGAUUGUCAGCUUAUUUAAAAGACAGAAGAAUGAUUAGACAGAAUGGGACAAGUAAGCUAUGUCUGCCUGGAAAAUUUCUUUCUCUGCUGGUGGAUUUUUUAGGUAAUGUAACAAGGUUUUUACAAAAUUCUUUAAUUCUUUACCAGUAGUUAAAUUAGAAAAUUGAAACAACAACACUUCAGAUGUACCCUGGUAAACAAUCAAUAGUAUGUCAUACUUUUUGAUUUGAAAACUUCCUGCCAUUUAGCUCUUAAUAAUUUCCUUUCUUGUGGCAAACACAAGUAAUCACAAUGCCCAUUCAUUAUGUUACUAUGCAGAACCAGUGUCCCUGAUAUUGUCCUGGUAUAGCCUUAACCCUGAACUCAUUUCGUACAAGUCAUUGCUUUGAUUAACAUUGCAAGUAUUCUUUGUUUACUGAAAAUGUCAAGUUUUGCAGUAUUCCCACAAAUCAACAGUAGGUUGAAGGCACUAUUUUAAUCAUUUGUUAGUAACUUUCUUUGUAUCUUUUGUAUUAUACUUUUACAUAUGAAAUGUACACAAUAAAUAUAAAUAAAUAAUGUGAAAUCAUAAGUUUUAGCAAUGACAAUAAUGCUAAUACACGUGUUUAGUUUGUUAUAUUAAUUUGUAGAAAAUUAUUUCUUAUAUGUUAUAUAUUUAGAAAUAUUGCAUUUGUUUAAUAAUGAGGUCUUUUUUUAGGAGGGCAUACAUGUAAAAUACAAAAUAACUCGGGUUAUUUGCAUUUGUGUGCGUGUGUGUUUACCAUCUAGAUUGCCAAAUGGGCAAACAGCACUGUGUUUUUAGUGUGAUCUUUGUUAAACAUAGCCUGUCACUGUCAACACCUAGGAUAAAUAAUGCACAUUCCUUACCAAAUGGAUUACUGCCUUUAAAUUCUAUUGACUUGUGGCUGUGAAUAUAAAAACAGUGGAAGAGAAAAAUGUUCAUGUGCAUUACAAAUGAUGAAUAACUCAGUUUCUGUACUAAUCAGGUAAUCUAAAUAAUGCCUUUAAAGUGUCAAGUGUUACACAUCUAUAUAAAUAUAUAUUAAUUUGGCUGGAACUGACAGUUUCAGAACUAUUGUAGAUAAACUUAACCAAUGUAUAAUAUGCUUAAGUAAAGCCAAUGUUCCUAAUUAAAGUUUAUAUAAAUAAA